GUUUGACAGUAAUGGAAAAGUGAUACGAUCACGGGGAUGUCUACUUGCCAACUGCAAUUAUUAAAGCUCAUCUGAAGCAAACCAUGGGGAAGGGCCAUAGCUCUGUAGUGCAGCAUCUGCACUGCAUGGAAAAGGUCCCAGGUUCUGUUCCCAGCAUAUCGAGGUUGGGCUGGGAUUGUCCCUAGUCUGAAACCCUGGGCCUACGCUACUAAGCUAGAUGGGCCAGUAGUCUAACCUGGUAUAAGAGAGCUUCCUAUGUUGAUUGGUUGGUUGGCAUCCAUCUGUCUUGGGAGACAAUGGAGGAGUGCACCUUUGAUGGUGAGGUCAAACUGCUGGCAGGUUGCAGCGCCUGCUGUAGAUGUAGAGACCAAUGCAGGAGAGACAUGCUUUGUUGCAGCUGGGGCAGAGGAAGGUGUCCAGUUGUGCUUCUGCAGAAGCACCGUGGUGUUUGUUCUUGCAUAAAGGUGACAGCUUAUAAAGUUGCCUUCAUUAAAGCAAAAUCAAUGGCAAGUGGGAAGACAGAGUGGUUAAAUGGUUGGACUAGGACUGGGGAGACCCAGAUGCAGAUCCCCCCUCACUGGAUAACCAUUGGGCAAUCCCUAUCUCUCAGCCCAAACAUUUUUCAUAAGGUUGCUGUGAGGAUAAAAGAACCAUGUAUGUUGCCACAAGUUCCCUGGAGAAAUGACAGAUUAUAAACAUAAUAAAAUAAAUACUUUUGGAAGGUCAUAAAUUCUAGCCUCGCACACACUGAACAUAGUCGCUAGCACAAAAUAAUACAUGAAGGGAGCUUACUCAACUUGGGUAAUGUCUUCUGGGAAGCCAGUGUUUAAAAAGGAGUUUAUGACUUUAUAGUGCUGGGACAAGUAACAUUGACAAAGGCUGAAGUUGACAACAAGAAACCUGAUUUCAUUGAUGUUGUUUGAUACUGUCUGUCCUGUUUUAUUAUGUCUACUAUAUGCUGCUUUGGCUUUGGAUAUUUUAUUGGAAAGGUGUGAUAUAAAUCUUAGUGAUAAAUAAUAAUAAACAUAACUCUACAGCAACCAUCCUCCGCUCUAGUGCAGCACUAAAUGAGAACUUGGCUCCUACACCAUAACAAGCUCUCCUCCUUUCAGUGUCCUGCUAGAUGCAAGGCUGCCAGCUUGGAAGGCUUUAAAAGAGGAUUGAGCAAAUAUCAGUGGCUACAAGUUACGAUGGUUCUGGUCUACCUACUCUGUAUGAUGUUUCUGCAUACCAGUGGCUGGCAAUUGCAAUCGGGAAGAGUUGUUGCACUCUGUUCAGCCACUGUGAAAGCAGGCUACUGGGCUAGACAGACCUUUGACCAGAACCAAACGGGCUUUGUGUGUGUUUGUGACGGUAGGGACAAGCCUCAAACCUGAGUUAUGGGACUGUACACAUGCAAUAUUUCUUUUCUACAGCAGCCUUCACUAAGCUGGUGUCCUCUGGAUGUUUCAGACAAUAUUAGCUGUGCUGACUGGGGGAUCUGGGGAGCACCAAAUUGGAAAAGGCUGCAUAAAGGAAUAUAUGCUACACCAUGCUGAGCCACAAUGUGGUUUGGAAGCGGCAGCUAGCCCAAGAUGCAGCUACCAAGGAGCUUAAGUGGGAUGCUCAGCCUUUCACUUUGGACUAAAAGGAUGAAAAUGAAACCCAAAAAUACAUAAUAAAAAAAAUCAAAAUGUGUAUCAUUUUAUAGAUUAUUUUUAUUAAGAGUGGUGCCAAGGGCACCUGUCAUUAAGUGACCACUGUGGGGUGUGUGGCAUAACACACAGUGUCUGCUGUGGGGGCAUGGCAUAGUACCAAAUUAGAGAAAGCUGGAAGAUCUGCACUGGCUGCCUUUUAGGUAAUGAGCCAAGUUCAGGGUUUUGUUGUUGACGUUUGCAGCCUAAACAAUGUGGGACCAGGAGAUCUAGCAAACUGCCUCCCCUAGUACAUACCGAGCUAAUCUUUUAAGAUCCUCGGAUGAGACCUUGUUGAUUGUUCCAAAACCAGCGAAUUGUUCUUAGGGCAGGAUUCAACUAAGUUGUUGCAUGCACAGAAUGAGGUCUUCUCACACAAUGGGACUUUGCCUUCCCAUCUCUCUGUACCCUGAAUCAGCUCUAAGGGAUUGGAUGAACACCCAGAAAGGGUUUAUGGAGCAACUGGGUGAGGAAAGGGAGGCAUGCAUACCCCACUUAGUGCUAUGUUCAACUCCACCCUCAGUGAUGCGAUGGAAGUGGGGCUUCCUGGUGGUAACACGCUCCCUCUGGAAUGCCCUGUAAUACAUGAGGCAGAGGGAGUGAUGACCUUUAAGCAGCUCUCAAAGACAUAGGGUUACCCAGGCUUGGGGGGGGGCUGCCUUUAUUUUUAUUUUAUUUGUUACGUAUGCUGUUCCCAUUUCAUUUAUGAGAUACGUAUCAUUUUUAUCUAGUUUUUGGUAAUUUGAAUGCAUUUUUUAUUAUGUUUUUGUAAAUGGUUAGAGAUUGUUAUCAUUUGAAGUGGUAUACAAUGGUACCUCCGAUUACGAACGGGAUCCCGAAAACUUUGUAACUGGAGGCACCUUUCUGUGCACCCAUGCGGCGCAAUUGAGUGCUUCUGCGCAUGCGUGCAUGGCAAAACCCGGAAGUAUACACUUCCAGAUUUGUCGCGUUUGUAACCCGAAGUUUACGUAUCCAGAGGGAUACGUAAGCAGAGGUACGACUGUAUAUAUUUUUAACUAAAUGUUAUGUACUGAGUUGAAUAGGAUCCAAAAUGCAGCAGUCUGAUUGGUCCUAGAACAAUAGGAUUCAGAAUGCAGCAGUCUGAUUGGUCCUAGAACAAUAGGAUUCAGAAUGCAGCAGUCUGAUUGGUCCACAGGAGCCACCCAAUCCAUCUCCAGGUGGAAGUGAAUCCACAACCUGAAUGGCCUACAGGAGAAUCCCAGAAUUAGCCAAUCACGUGGGGCCCAUUGUGUAAAUAAUGUAUAUAAAGCAGACAUUCUGGGGGAACUUCCAUUCCUCCUCACCACUAUGAGCUGAAUAAAGAGCAUGAAAUACUCGACUUCAAGUAUAUUUCACUAAAUAAUUAUGAACAAACUGUCAUUUAGCACUACAUGGACAUAGCACUGAAUGAGUGUGCGCAGAGCGUUGAGUUUACACGCCUCCCUCCUGCAUGGCUGGGCAAAGCUCUUUGGCAGGAUUUUGUUUCUGUGUUAAAGAAACCCAGCUGGGUUGUUAAACCAACCGGAGCUUGUUUUGUACUAGGAUCCCUGGUUUGAGUGUAACGUUAAGCUAGGAUUCUUUAAAAAAUAAAAGUAAACUCCACCAAAGCUGUCCACACGACUGUGCAGGAUACGGACUGUGUGAGUCUGAUGGCUAAAACCCUGGUUUUGUGUUACAUAUCAGCCUUUUCAGUGUCUUGCCUCUGCUCCCACCCUUGGAGUAGUCCCAAGACUGCUUCAAUGAGUUAAACUUGCAUUUCUUCUGUAGCAAUCGCUGCAAUAGGCUUCAUGUCCAUUUUGGUUUACAUCAAUUCUGGUCUGCAAGUCAGAUGACCUUGAUUCUUUGAUUAAAGAAUAGGAAGAUUAACAGUUGGGUUUCUUUGACCUCUCAUUUUCAUGCUGCCUGAAAAGCUGUGUCUCUAGAGAAUCUCUAAAAAAUUGGUUAAAGGUGUGGAAAGAAAUCAAAGUUGUAGUGAUGCUGCAUAUAACUUAAGAUUGCUUUGGGCUUUCUCUUAUCCUGAAAGGAAUCCUAUAUCCCCACAGUAUUAUCCCUUCUAGUUGCUAUUUUACAUAAUAUGUUUGGUUUAGUGCCAGUUGCACUGGUUGAGUUUGCAAUUUCAUCCCAGGGGAAAGGGGAAGUAAUGUGAGCAGAAGAAUAUUGCCAGCAUACUUAAUCUAUUGACAUUUAUUCUUAGGGACAUAUCAGCACUGGCUGUCAAUUCACACAAUACUUCCCUCCCCCCCUUGCAAGCAGCUGGUAUAAUUGUUGCAGGAAUAAUACAAAACUGAUGCCAGCCAUAUCCAUAAUAGGCUGGUUCAUAUACACAUGUCCUUUUCUAUGCAUGCGUAGUUACUUGCAUACAUUUAAAAGAGUAUUCUGUGAUCCUGCCAUUAGCUGUGUGUGUGUAUCCUGCACAAAGCUCAGCUGUAAAUAACACGUCUCUUUAAAUUUCAUAAAUUAUUUGCUAAUUUUUAAAAUCCACAAAAUAAUAAUAAACUGAUUGGCUGAUUGAAGAGUGUUCAUAGGAAAGUGAUUCAGAAGUCUAAAGAGUUCACAUGUUCAAAAUACAAAAAGCCAAAUGUUAUUUCAGUUACAGGACAGUUGUUCUUGGGGAUAAAGGCAAGAGAACAAUUUCAUCAUAGUUUACAAAUUCUGAAUUUUGUCACUGAUCUGUCAUUCUGUUUUUAAAGGGAUGGUGUGAUUAUUAGCCACUGAACAUAACUUGAUUUUCAGGGUGGGGUUAUAAAUAUUGUUAGUGUCAUCUUACAGUACAGUUCAGUAAACAACAUGUAAAUAUGAUAUUAAGGGUUUUUCCAAAAAAGGGCGCUGCAAAAUAAAACCACUCUGUGUGUAUCUCUUCUCCUCCUUUUCCUAAUUAAUUAAUUAAUUAAUUGAGUCAAUAGGACUUCUUUCCAUUAAAUUUAAUUCAGGUGGCUACCAAGUAAUUUAUGUAUGUAAUAGAAAUGGAGCUUUAUAGUUUAUUGACAACUUCUUUUCUUAAGAGGUCUAAUGUGUUAGCUGGAAGUCAAGCAUUAAUCCACUCUAAAGUGCCUGUGAGGCAGCUGAUGACUCACUGAACAGACUUGAAAGUGUCAACAAAAAAGUGGGGCCCUUCCAGCUGAUUCUUGUCUUAAGUCAAGAGCCAGCUUACCUAUGGUCUAGCCAAACCCUGCAACCAUGCUGACUAAUAAGACCUCCUCCCAUAAAUUUAGCUACCCAUUUCCAGUCAAUGGGACACAAUUUUUUGAUUUCUUUUAUUCAGUUUCUGGGAUUGUGCUGUAGACUUUUAUUGGUUUCUUUCACACAAAAAGGGGGGGGAGUGUGCCUCCCUCCCCGACAUUUUUGCGUAUUUCCUUUAUUCGUUUUCAUCUGCUUUACUGGAAAAUACUUGGCAUCGCCACCUCCUUUCUUCCAGUUUGCAUCUCAGGUUGCCUUUGGACAGCCUGCACUCCCCAGAAGAUAUGUUGCUUAUGUGCUUCCAGAGAAACAGAUUCGUCUUCAACAGCUUCCCAUUCCCCAAUACAUCUGUGAAAUAUCUAGCGAACACAUGAUGCCAAGACGAAUUUGAACUCUUUGGUCCUGGCAGCCUUACCUUGUCAACACUACAGAGCUUUCGACCAAGGUGUACCUCUCUUGAAUGUGCUGGCUCAAGCCCAGGCCACUGUGAGCCUAGUGCGGUUGGAUGUUUGAAAAUCAUUUUCUCUUGGUAGCAAAACAGCUUGGAACGAGAUGAACAGUAUAUAGAUCAUCGCUUGUUUGCUACAACAACAAAUGGUAAUGGUACAAAUCUUAUUUUUGGAAAGGCCUGCUGUCUGGCAGACACUUCCCCCCUUAAGGUGCUUGUCUGAGGUUCACUGUUGAAUGACUGGAACGAAAGUUGUAGGAUGGCUGUUGUAAUUAACAAAAAUGUGUGUACAAGUUGUAAAGUGCUGUCUGAAUCCCAAAGGGGGUAGGCUGGUGAUGCACGGCACUUACUUAAAAGCCAUAUUGGCCCCAACCCACAGGUUCCUGCAUGUAAAAGCAUGCUCAAUAGCAGGCUGGUUGAUCACCUGUUCAGGGAAAUGGAGCACACAGAGAAAGUUGGAUUGAGUCCCCACUUACUGCUUCUAACAGCUGGUUGGUGCUGCGGAAGCUGGGCCAACUAUUUGAGGGGGGGCUUGCAUGGAAUUGAUCCACGAUGUCUCUCUGCACCCGAUACAGAGUAGGGCCCAAUACAUCCAGGCUCAUUCCUGCUGGAUAAUGGGUUUUCAAAAUACCUUCCAGAAAACAUGGUCAGAUUGCUCACCAGUCUUUUCCUCUUGCUUAAAAAGAGUAAACAUAUAGAGAUAUAUUAUACAUAUCCAUUUCUAAUUCAGUAUCCUUCCGGUGAUGGCAUCUGACUGAUUUCUGAAAUUUCUUUGGGGGUUGGGGUUCUGAGAGAACGGAAGAACUUUAAGAACUACAAAUCAAGAAAGAGAAAACAGUGCCAUUUCCGAAUAU